CGGUAGCUCAGUCGGUAGAGCAAGGGACUGAAAAUCCCUGUGUCGGCGGUUCGAUUCCACCCUG
rnacentral:tRNA from 1 species